UACAGAGGUCUCAAGCGUUGUUCGGAUUCAUUGGGCGUAAAGGGUGCGUAGGUGGUGACGUAAGUCUGGUGUGAAAUCUCGGGGCUUAACCCCGAAAUUGCAUCGGAUACUGCGUGACUUGAGGAUUGUAGAGGAGAUCGGAAUUCACGGUGUAGCAGUGAAAUGCGUAGAUAUCGUGAGGAAGACCAGUUGCGAAGGCGGAUCUCUGGGCAAUUCCUGACACUGAGGCACGAAGGCCAGGGGAGCAAACGGG
rnacentral:rRNA from 1 species